rnacentral:rRNA from 1 species
ACGUAGGAGGCGAGCGUUAUCCGGAUUUACUGGGUGUAAAGCGCGUGCAGGCGGUUCUGCAAGUGGGACGUGAAAGCGCCCAGGCUUAACCGGGCGAGGACAAUGAAGACUGGUCAGCUAGAGGACGGUAGAGGGGUGUGGAAUUCCGGGUGUAGUGGUGAAAUGCGUAGAGAUCCGGAGGAACACCAGAGGCGAAGGCGACACCCUGGGCCGUACCUGACGCUAAGACGCGACAGCACGGGGAGCGAACGG